GUUUAGAGGCAGCUUCUCUCAGGGGUGAUGAAUAGCACAUGAUUCUUAAUACCACAGAACAUACCCCUGAAAGUGGGGACUCUAAUGUCUAUUUUACCACUAUUUUUAAAAAAUACUUGAUAUCAAAGAAUCCUAUUGUGAGACGUAUUACUGCUUUCAUUUAACAAUUUUAAUAUUUAACCUCUAAUUCGUUCUCAUGCAGUAGGAAAAAUCCUUUCUGGCCCUCUUCAUUGCAGAAUUUCUUCUUAUUACCAGCCUGUUCUUUACUGAAGGCCUGGGGGUUUCGAUUUGAGGCCGUGGAGACCCAAGCUGUCUGCUGUGAUUGAGAAACAUGUCAGGUAUUAGCUGGUAUUAGCUUAGAACACCACGAGCUCGUAACAGCAAAUUCUUAAUCACAUUUUCGUGGAAGCAUUCUUGAUUGUAGAAACUGACUCAAAAAGUAAUAAUUCCUUUUCUCCGUUUAUUUUUAUUAAGCUUUGUUGACCUAUGUAAGGGUUAUAGGCGAGGAGAGGGUGUAUGGGGAUUAGAAAGAUUAGUCAGUCAGCUGCCACUCCUAAAAAUAUCAGUGAUUUUUUUUCUUAAUCACAUAACUAACCUUCUGUCUGCGCAGAGCAAAUUCACACUAAGACCAAACCUAAAGGACGAGUUUUCCACUUUUUAGUACACUUGAAUAUAAAUACAGACAGAAGAAUAAUUAUAUAUGUUCAGAAUUGCUUAAAUCUCUAACAUUUUAACAUUUGAAAAAAUUUAAGAAUCCUUGUCCAGUAAUGUGCCUUGUGAUUAUUGACUCAAUGCAAAAUAAUAAACAUCUUAGUUGUUAAUUGUUUUAUAACCUGCCUUGCUUCACAAACUUACUUUAGGCAGGUUAGUAAGAUAUAUAAAAUAUAGAAGACGAAUGAAAGAGAAUGGUUAUCCAGAGGUGUUGGGUCAGAGAUGAAUAAGGAUAGAACCCUAAGGGGAUGCCAGGUAUCUGCGUGUUUUCUGGUAACCAAGCGAGAAGAAACAAGCUGCAGGAAGGGAGGGUGGGGGCGGAAGGCUGUCGGCAGACCUGUUCCACAGGCACAGCAAGACCCUGCAGGGACACCGAGGGCACAGCGGCGGCCAGGCCAGGCCAGGCCAGGCCCGGCCAGAAGCCCGAGCACUCUGGGCAGUGAGGAGCCCGUGGCCCAGGGACAGUGGCCCGGCCUCCGCAGUGUCCCCCUCACCCUGGGAGCAGGGUGGGCUCUUCCGACAGCUACAAGCGCUGGCCUGUAACACUGUCCAAGGCCUGAUGCUCACUCAGUUCACCAGCUGCAGGCAGUGUGUGUCAACUUCUUGCUACAAACAUGAAGAAAUCAGUCUCAAUCCUCAGUCCUCCUUUGUCUUCCCUUCCAAUUUUUAAAACUUUUUACCUUGAAAAGGCCUCUGACAUUCACGCUGCUAGAACAACCUCUUGUACCCUUUUGUGGGGUGGGCUUUAAGUAGGGGACCCAGCAUGACUGCCACGUUACUGGGACCAUGACACAUGCACAUUCACUUCAGGGCUUACCGGGGAGAGAAUCUCACGCUCUCAGAUGUUAAGCUUUGUUGGUAAGAAGGGAACCUUCUAAGCCUCCCAGACCAGCGCUCUUCCACUUUCACUUCUCAGUUGCUGCUAUUCCUUACAUCUUGCAUGCUUUCUUAAAUAUUACUUUCUUUUUGGGUUGUCUGAGUACUCUUUGCAUGUGGGGUCUGUGGGAGCCAGUCUUUUCUGAGGCUAGAAAGUCCGAGUUAGCUUUAUUUUGUCUCCAUACCUGUUUUAAAAGCUUAGAUCAAUAUAAACAUCCAAACUUUAAAGAUAUCAUCUCCAUUUUCUCCCUUCCCGCCCUCAUUGUAGGUGAGGGUCUUAUAGCAGUCUUGAUUCCCCUUUUGUUAAGGAUGAGGGUUUUUUCUUUCCCUGAAAUGUUUAGGAUUAUUUUUAAUCCUGUCAUUGUACAGUUCCACCACAGUGUUUCAGCUUCAGUCUUUUCCUACCACUCUAACGCUGCAUUUUGUGGAACCUUCCCGUGUGGGUUCCCGUGGAGAGGGAAUUUUCUCCACUUACCUCACUGCCUUCGCACUUCUACUUCACCUCCUGUGAGGUGGGUGCAGCCCUGCGGGACCUGACUCCACAUAUUAAAUUCUUUGUGUAAGGGCUUGCCACGCCUUAGCCCUUCCGUUCUCCAUCCUCACCAAGCGCUCUCUGUUUAUCUUUCAGAUUAAAAUCUCGGGCCUCCUCAGCACCAAAUUUUAAUUCCACCUUACCGUGCCUUCUUGAAGCAACACUUUCUAACUGCCAGGAGUUUUUUUCCUUCAGUAGUUCGGUUUUGCCUUUGAUGGACUGUUCUUGUUUUAAGUCUGUGAUGCCCCUCAUCUCAUGAAGGAUACCAGUAGAGGAUUUGUGGCUUUAAUUCUGUUUCGUGAUUGUGACUUUGUCCAUGUGCUCUGUGGCAGCUGCUUUGUCUCAGAGCUUUUCUUCCACGCCGUCAUUUGUCCUCAACUGCCCUCAGCUUGUUCUUCGUCCUGGUUAGAGUUCACACGUCUGAGCAGACGCCACUCGUGUCAGUGUGGGUGCCAUGUGGGUGUCCUGACUGGCUCCACCCCUGUCUCCCUCUCGGCUGCCUGCCCUGCACCGAGGGCUUUCUGGUGAGCUGGGCGGCCACACGCAGUGUGUUGUGACCACCCCUAAGGUCCAGAGUUCUAACAUACCUCUUGGGUCCGUUGUGUAAUUUUUCAUCAUAGUAGUAUUUGCCCUUAUGCUUGGGCACUUCUUUGGCUUUUUCAACUUGUCAUUAACCUGUUGUGAAGAACAUAUUUGUAUGUAUAAUUUGUUCAUGUAUUGCUGAUAACUUUCAUGAUGUUGAUUCCUAGAGUGAAAUGUAUGGGUUAUGAAAGGCAUUAAUAGCUGCUGCUAAAUUAUCUUUUGGAAGACCAUAACAAGUCUCAGUCUCACUUAAAAAUAUCCUUUAUCCUCACAUUUUGGAUGGCAGUGGAUAAUACCGCUCAUUUAAUAUGUCCUGCUGGCUUGAACCAGCAGGGGUACAUGUACAACAGUCCCUUCAGGCCGCUGGUACCACUGGUUGUACAGAUAGUAAGGCCACGCACAGGACAGUCGUGCAUGUGCCCCUGGUGGUCCAAGCCACCCAGCAGUGAGACAUGAGAACCAUGGCCCCAAUGUGAACGUAUUAAUAUUUGCCAAUUGACAUACAUAAUCGUUGCUGUUUGAAUCUGUUAAUGUGCACAGAUCUUCACAGAUCUCCUUUGCAGAUUAACUGUUGUCUUUCACUGUUUUGUGGCAGAUGGUCAUCAUUGUCUUUGCUUCGUGGGGCUCUUUUUUGGGAUUAUUAACCCUUUGUCAUAUAUGUUACGAAUUUUUUCCCAGUGUGUAGCCUGCCUUUCACUUUGGCAUGAUGUGUUUUUUUGCUGUGUGUAUGUGUUGGUGCCGUGUGUAUAAAGCCACCUGUUCACCUGUCCCAAGGCAAAAUUCCAUCUGGCUAGCUCAGUGUGUCUUGCAUUAUACUUUUAAGUCCAUAUAAUUGUUUGCAAACAUGAUUUGAGUAAGGAUAUGUCUUUGUUUUUUUCUGACAUAACCAGCCAACUAGUCUCUUUAAAUUGGCUGAUCAUCUUUUCUUCUCAAUUUGAUAUUUCAGCAUUGCCAUAUGCUACACAUUUAUAUGCAUGUAUACGUGUGUGUGACUGCCUAAAUUAACACCACGGAAUUUCAGGAAUUCUGGAGAUUUCCUAACUAGACCACUCUUACUUCACUGUUCCUAGAAAACACUGCAGUGCAAUACCUCAACUUCUAUAUUAAAAUCUCAUCCAGUACUUGCUUGUUAACCUAAUUCUUAGGAAUUAAAAGACCUCCAAAAUACUUGUCUCAUGAGAGUAUUUUAUUACCAACCAGUUUUCUUUAUUGUUUUUGUCCACUCAUAGCCUGCCAGGAGUAAAGACAACAGUGGUACCUAGGAAUCAAACACCAUUCCAAGAAUAGACUGGCUUCAGAGAUAGGAAAGCUGAAUCUGCUUGUUUUGUAGUAGGGAGAAAUAUUAGUUAACAUUGGAAAAUAAGGCAAAUAACAGUGUUUGAGGUUCAGAAAAGCAAUUAGCAUGCUAAGUUAGCAGCAUCCAGUUACUGUCUUGUAUGUAUGGAUUUUAAAAUAGGUAAACUUGACAGCACUUCUUGUGAACUAAGUACCACAUCACUGGGACAGUCCCCCCUGUGGAAUUACGCGGUGUCUCCUGCCACACAGCUGGUUAAGACUCCAUUUCUCCAGAUAUGAAAGGUCCGUUACAGUGCUGUAGGGCACGCGUAAAUUGUGUGCGCUGCCGUGAACUACUGAAACAAACAGAAUCAAUAAAGGGAUUUGGCAAGAAUGUGGUUACCAGCAUUGCAUGGCCUUAAGUGAGUCUUACCUGAUCAUGACAGUAAUAAUAAUACAGUUGUAAAUCAUGUAAUAAUAAUAAUAGUAAUAAUAGCAAUAAUAAUACAGUUGUAAAUCAUGUAUUGUGCUAAUACAUCUGUAAAUCAUUGCUGCCUCUAGUGCUCUAGGAGAAAUUUCAGGGAGUUGGGACAUGUGGUCCCAGACCUUCUCUUAGGAGUCCACCAUGUGGUCUAAUGGUAAAGGACCAAGAAGUCCUGCUGGAGAGAAGCCCCUGGGUCUGGGGGACCCAUUCCUGGCAUCUUGAAACUGUUCACACGGGAACCUCUGUUACCUGCUGUCCAUGGUUACUAAGCAUCUAGCUUUAGUAAGAAGUGAUAUGUGCAGGGAGCUAUUUUGCACAUGGUACUUUAAUUUGUGAUAACAAUAUGGAGUUUUGUUAAGAAAAAUACCCUUAAUUUUACAAGAUCCUUUUGCUCAUGGAGUUUUCAGAAUAGCAACACAGAAAAGUAUUGUUUUGUCCUGUGAAUCCUGACUUGGUUUGGAAUCAAUCACUGGCCAGAAAAAAGCAGAAAGUUUUCAACUUUUCUAGACUUCUGUCCAGUACCUCUAUUGAGAUUCUAUUGAGAUUGUUUCUACAAGGGGCAAUUUAAUAUUGGGAACUCUUUACAUCCAAUGCAUGUUUUCAUUUAUUUAUUAUAAUUUCAGCAGUGGUGAGCUUAGGUGCAUAUAACAACUGUAGAAUCAGUAGUGAUCUUUUGUAUUUAUUGCUCAUAAAAUAAGCCUUGGCUUUGCAGUUGCAGAGAGGCCAGAGGAAGGUCAGGGUGUUUCUUCUUACCGUAGGAUGGGCGCUGCGGACAGUAUAUACCAAGGACGGAGCACCUUUAUGGAGGAGCUGACGGACACGGCAGAGAUCAUCCGGAAGGCAACGCCGAGGUCCCUGGUGAUCCUGGAUGAACUGGGGCGAGGCACGAGCACACACGAUGGGAUCGCCAUCGCGUACGCCCACCCUGGAGUAUUUUAUUAGAGACUGACUGAAGUGUCGCGUGCAGCCUGUGGGACACACGUCAUCCACUCACUUCGGGCCAUCCCCGACUGCCGAGACCUCUGCUGCGUGUAGAUGGUGAGCUCCUGGCCUCAUCCCGGGGCGCUGGUGUGUCCCGCAUGCCCGGCCACCUCCUUCGGGGCCACUGCUCCUUUGUGUUGGUGACUUAGGAGUGGGGACCAGAGCGGCUUGGCCCUGUGACACCAGCUUGGGUUGUGUGGAGGGCCGUGAUGUGGCCUCUCCUACACAAUACGGACUUGCUAUUUCCCUUUUUAAAGAUUUUAUUUAUUUGCAAAAGAUGCAGUUGGAGAAGUGUUUUAAUCAUCACAGAAGCCGCUUCUCGUGGGAGCGUCAGCAGAGCAUCAGUGUCCCCAGCACUCACUACAUCCUCACUUGGAACUUGAGUUUGGUGUCAUCGUCCCAGCGCUCUGGGAAGCUGAGACAGGAGGGUGCCAAGCCUGAGUCCAGCCUGGGCAGCUUAGCAGCUCAGCAAGCUGGGGUCUCAAAAUCAGAAACAGCUGGAGGUGUAGUACAGGGAAAGGUCCUGCAUUCAGUCCCAGCACCACACACACACACAUGCACACACAGUAGAGUGUCAGUCACUGUGACCGUCAUGAGUGACCCUGGAGCUGCGAAUGGUGACACCGCAGAUGGCACUGCUGCCCGUCCCAGGGGUGCCAGGCAGGGCUGUGGGGUCUUGGCUGGGUCCCCCAGGGUCAGCCGGCUGUCGGUGCCCACCCUUCCUGCCUCUGCGUCCCCAGGAGAGGAUGGAGCCCAGCAGCCACCCGAAGCUGCCGUCCACGGCUCAGCGCCCAGGUCGGAAUUCCUUCUAGAACCCUCUACACAAGGACCACAGAACCAAAUGUGUUACUUCUGUUUUUAUUGCCUCUGCUCUAAAGCAGGCUUUGGAUAGUCUAAAUGCUUCAGAAGAAGUUGCUACUUCUGGAUGACAUUGACCUUGGGGUGCAUCGUGAAAGGCUUAAGAAAACAAACUUCUUUUCUCAGAUCAGUUGACUACUCGUGUAAGUCAGUCUCUUGGGCCCUUUCUUAGGACUCAUCAGCCUAUGAGCCUUUUUUGUAACCAGUAUUACACUGAUUGGUUUGGGGUUUUUUCUUGUUACUGAUUUUUGUUUUUUGUUUUUACCUGGUGGUACUGGGACUGAACUCAGGGCUUUCACACUGAGCUACAUCCUUUUUUUCCAUUUUAUUUUUUAUUUUGAGAUAGAAUCUUACUAAAUUACCAAGUUGCCUAAACUGGGCUUCAAUGUGCGGUCCUCCUGCCUCAGCCUCCCGGAGUGCAGCCCAACCCCCAGCAGUACCGCCCUGUCGGGGUCGCUGCAGCUCUGUGGUGAGUGUUAAAGUUGGAAGUGACCAUCCCCCAGCUUUGUUCUUCAGUACUGGGCUGGCUAUUUUGGCUCUUGGGCCUCCACGUAGACGUCAGAUUCAUGUGCUGGCACCCACAAGAACCCCUGCUGGAAUUACGCGUGGUGUCGUGUUGCGUCUCUAGACCAAGACGGGAAAGGCAGCCAUCUGGCCAUUCUAGAGCCUUCCCGUGCAGUGACAUGGUUCCUCUUCUGGUUACUUAGCCCUCCUCUGGUUCAUUUCUUCAGAAUGACGUAGCUUUGUCAUAGAAACCUUGUCCAUAUUUUGUUAGAGUCAUACCUGAGGAUUUCAUUUUGGGCGUGCUAAGGUAACUGGUACUGCAUUUUUAUUUCAAAUUGUACUUCUCCACUGCUGGUAUAUAGGAAAGCAAGGACUUCCUUGUGUUGAUCUUGGAUCCUGCAGCCUUGCCGCGAUCACUUACAAUGUCACUAUCAUAGGAGACAGGGCAGGAGCGGACAGUGUUACGGGACAGCCAGGGAAGCCUGCUGCAUAAUCUGGAAGAGUAGUGACUCUCUUGGCUGUAACCAUGUUCUGGGUGCGUAGGCAGCUGCUUUUGUUCUUAGCAGACAGACUCUCAAGUCUUCAGGGAUAAAGUCUGCAAGUGACUCUCAAGAGGUUGAGGGAAAAAAUGUGUAUAAGUGUGUGUGUGUUUGGGGGGGGUGUCCACACAUGUAUGUGUGUGUAAAUGAGAGGGAAGAAGAAAGGGAAUAUGACAAGAUAUUAACUGCUGUGUUUGUUGUCUAGGUAAAGAGUAUGUGGUGCUCAUCGUAUUUUUCUUGACGCUUUUAAAAAAUUACAAAUGAUCUAAAAAGCCCGAGUGUUUCUUUCUUGCAGGUUUUGUGAAGGUGUGAAAUUUUAAGUUUUAAUUUAACAUUUAAAAAUAAAAGGCCACUUACCCUGUCUUGUUGCCGUAGGUAAAAUCCCUAACCCUGUUCGUCACCCAUUACCCACCGCUGUGCGAGCUGGAAAGGAGCUACCCGGGCCAGGUGGGGAAUUACCACAUGGGCUUCCUGGUGACCAAGGACGAAGGCCAGGCAGGUCCAGGUAGGCGAGGUCCUGGGCUGGCAGCGCGUGCCCGUGGUUGCCGGGGUUGUGCGAGUAGAAGCCCACUGCUCAUGCACAGUGUGGUGCCAGCCACAGGUAACACUGUUCGCACUCAUGUUCACACUUGCUCCACCCUCGGUCAGGAGGGAUGCACCCCUCUGCCAUCACCAAGUCCUGCCUGAGCUCCUUCUCCUGUCCAUCCCAGCAGAGCUCCGCUGGCCCCCUUUCUUUGUAAUAAGAAGCAGUGAUUUCCAAGCUAUAUACAAUAAAUUGCCCCCAAAAUACAGCACCCGAAACAAAGACCAUCUGUCACUAUUUCUGGGGGUCUGGAGUCAGGGGCAACUCGGCUGAGCCCCUGGGCAUCUCCCAAGGCUACAGUCAGGGUGCAGGGCAGGGGAGUGGGGCUGCCAGGCCCACCCACGCAGCACCUCCCCACCUGGCUGUGACCAGACCCCGGUGCCCACAGGGCCUCUUUUGAGAAUGGCCUGUGGCACAUGGCUGGCAAGGAAGGAAAAGGACCAGACAGAGAGCGCCAUGGUCUCCCCACACUGACCUCUCAUCCCCGUGUCACGUUCUGUUCCACGAGAAGGGAGUCCCUAGGCCCUCCCCACACUCAGAGGGCCGGAGGACCCCAGCCAGGCCCGUGGUGGCUGUCUCCAAGGCUGCCUGUCCUCCCCAUGGCAGCAGUCAUUGCGGUCCCUCAGGAAGGGGCCUGCCAGCUGCAGCGAGCCCCACAGAGGCCACACAGCCUGUUGAGCCCUUCACUGGGCGCAGUACCUGACACUGAAGCCCAGAGGAGAUGUGUGACUGGGUCCAUGGUUCAGGGGCCUCGGACCAUGCUGGGGCGGUUGGUUCUAAGGCAAGAACAAGGCAGAAGGCAGGGGGGAGCAAAGCCACUCACUUCCUGGGGGCCAGGACGGGGAGAGGGACCGGGUGGGAGACAGACCCUCCAGAGGGGGCUCAGUGACCACCUCUCCCCACCAGAGCCCCUCACAUUCAGCUGUGCAUCAGUGAUAGAUAACCCACUGAGCCGGGCAGCUUCCAGAGCCCCGCCUCUGAACACAUGAGGUGUCCUGGGGACAUUCUGCAUCCGACCAACAGCUCCACCCUUCUGACAGCUGGGGUGGGGAACAGAACAGCAACCCCUUCAGCAUGUAGAGCUCCUAGCCAGAACACUUCAUCACCCCCAAUGUUUUGUCUUUUUAUUUAAACUGUGUGCAACAUGUAACAUUUCCUUCUCUAUUUUAACAGGAAAAAUAAAUGCCAUUGUACCAUGUAUCAGAACCAUUCUGCUUUUGAUACAGAAGUUCAGUUCAAAUUGUGCAAUGAAUCAUUGUUAAAAACUGUCUUAAGUGAGCUAGAGGCCCUAAAUGCAAACGCAUUUUCAAAUCAGUAUUUGCCCUUUAUCUUGAUAUGCAAACCUGAACUGGCAGGUGGCAGGAACAAUAGGCUUCUUUCUCAGAGUGUAAAUUUUAAUAGAGUAAAAUUUUAAGAACGUUCAUGUCCUCUUUAGUCCUUGUAUUUCAGUUUUUGAUAUCCUUUCCCUUUUGUUCUGUCUUUCACAGGCAAAGAGGAAGUCCCUGAUUUUGUGACUUUUCUUUAUCAAAUAACCAGAGGAGUUGCAGCAAGGAGUUACGGCCUAAACGUGGCUAAGCUAGCAGAUGUUCCUGGAGAAGUCCUGAAGAAAGCAGCUCACAAGUCCAAGGAGCUGGAAGGGUUAAUAAACAUGAAAAGGAAAAGGCUGAAGUCUUUUUGAAAUUGUGGACAACACAUAGUACGGAAGACCUUCGAGAGUGGAUGGACGAGUUUGAAGUAGAAGAAACACAGACUUCUCUUCCUGAUGAGCCUGUGGACCGCUCUUUGGAAGAAACAGCGGAGAGUUAGAAACACCCACCACCGUCUAAAACAGGUGCCCAGCAGCGCCCAUCUGGCACAGGAGAGCACCGCAUCCCGGCCGCAGCGGUCCGUUUGGGAGAUGGAUUUCUUCCUUUUGUGAAGGAAACGAUGCUCAGGUUCCUUCCCCUCCGCCUUUUCAGAUAGCAAGGCUCCCUCUGUGACCGGAAAUCUCCUGGAUGGGGCUCCACAAGGUGACACCUCUUCGGUUAGUGCCUGUUCUGUUUGCACGAGAUAAUGUUAAAAGCCACCAAUUCUUCAUGUGCAGAAUAAUUUUUGAUAAAAAUAGAAUUAUGAAGCUCUUAGAAACUAGAGCCCAGUGCCCUGGAAGAAUAAAGUCAUAUGAAAUUUGCAGAGUUAGACGUGGUCGUAGUUUUAAGCAGUUUAAAUAAUGUUGAAUGGUGUGAUCUGUCCCUCUGUGGAGUAAUACUUAAUGCACACUUGCUUCAGACUUCUGUGCGUCCUGCUGAGUGCUGGUGUUCCCGAAGGCCAGGCAGUUGUUUUGCAGGUUGGUCCUGGAACCCAGGUCGCUGCCCCACAGAGUGGUGCGCAGGUCCUCCUGCCCUCUGCAGCCCACGGCCCCUGCGCGGUGCCCCCCUCCUGGUGAGGCUGGGGACGCAGCCGUGUCUCCGAGAUGUGCAUG
rnacentral:lncRNA from 1 species